AUGUCAUAUGACCACCUCAAAUCAGCUGUGAGAAGUUGCAUAUACAGGUCCUCAUAGUGGAGUAGAUUUUGUUGGUUAAAGGAAACUUUGUCUUCACCAGACACCACGAACUGCAGAUGAGGUAGCUAUUGUAUUGGUUGUUGUAAGUAAAAUACUACUAACCUCUCGCUCGGGGACAAAUCACCCGGAGACUGAGUAUCAAUGUAGAAGGCACCACCGUUCACACUGAUCAUGGCAACGAGACCACCCCCUCUCCUGGGAAAUAGGAGGCAAGGGCUAAAGGGGCCUCCUUCCCCUCAUCUGUCUUCAAUCUGAUGAAGGCCAUCAUGGGCAGUGCCAUCCUGGACCUGGCCUACGCAAUGGCCAACACUAGUGUAGUGAGCUUCUGGUUGUGGUCAAGAAAUGGGACAUCCCCGCCCCCUACCAAGCCAUGUGACCAGAUAUCGAAUUCCUUCGGAAUCGGAAUGUACGCCCAAACUCUGUCAUCUCCAGUAAGGUAUGUAUGCAUUGCAGUGGUGAUCGGUGCCAUUUUAUGAUGAGUGAGGACGAUAGAAAAAAUAUAUAAUUAUGCGCAUGGCCUUAUUUCUAUUACAGCACAUUGGAUGACUGUCAUUCAUAUUCCAUUCACUCCGCUCAAUGUAACAUCAAUACGUUUAGGCUACUACAUGAUACUCAAAUGUUCCCUAUACCCAUCAUGAGGUUGCUACAACCUAGCCUAUGAAUGAAACUUUACAACAUAAGUGCACAGGUCGAGAGAAAUUUGAGUAAUCAAGGUGACAGACAUUGACGCAUUCAAUACCGCCUUGCACACUCUUGUCUGUAUGUAGCAGAUCUAAGGUGUAAUCAUUAGUCCAGCAGUUGCAAACAAAUUUCUGUUGGACAAAUUCAAGUAUGUUUAUCCCCGUUUCGUUCUGUUUGCUUCCGUUUAAGAAACAUAAGCCCCUGAUCACAUGCAAACACAGUUCACUUUCAUAGCAGCCACAUACAAACAGCAAUGAUCCCUUUGAUUGUUGUAUAAUUCCUUAUUGGAUCUAUACAGUCUCCUCUCACCUUUUCCCUUCGCUUGUGGACUUCAGUGCACAACACAUCAGCUGUCUGUUAACAUGCGAACCAUUCCAAGCCAAACCUUAAUAUCAUAACUGCUAACAGCUACACACAGCCUACAUCGUUGUCACCAUAUUAGCUAACAUCAUAAUUAACAUAGCUACUAGAACUAACGCGUUACUGAACUGCUACAAUCACACAGGACCGUGUACAGCAAGCAGUUUAGCAGUUACACCGGCGGGCCCUGGUGGUUAUAAAACCAAAAGCUUACCUUGACUUGGAAGAGUUCCAGUGUUGGAUAGCCAUAGCCAGCUAGCUAACUUAGCAUCCCUCUCUGUUUGAGCCAGGUAUUAGAGUAGGCUAAACUAGCUAGCUGCAUCUAUGUCUCUUGCUUCUCCAUUUUUUAAGAAAUUAAUUUGUUCAAAACUGUUCAACUAUUGUUUUUCUCUGAGUCAACUACACACCACAUUUUAUGCACUGCAGUGCUAGCUAGCUGUAGCAUAUGCUUUCAGUACUUGAUUCAUUCUCUGAUCCUUUGAUUGGGUGGACAACAUGUCAGUUCAUGCUGCAAGAGCUCUGAUGGGUUGGAGGACGUCCUCCGGAAGUUGUCAUAAUUACUGUGUAACUCUAUGGAAGGGGGUGAGAACCACGAGCCUCCUAGGUUUUGUGUUGAAGUCAGUGUACCCAGAGGAGGGCGGAAGCUAGCUGUACUCCGGCUACACGAUGGUGCUACCCUACGGAGUGCUGUUGAGGCUACUGUAGACCUUCAUUGCAAAACAGUGUUUUAAUCAAUUAUUUGGUGACGUGAAUAAAUGUAGUAUAGUUAUCAAAAAAGGAUGACUUUAAUGUUUCACUAUUAAACAUUUUCUGCAAUUGACUGAUGAGGAUGGUCCUCUCCCUCCUCCGAGGAGCCUCCACUGAUGCAUUGACUCAACUUGUCUCCAUCAACCCUGGAUAUGUAGUCAGUAAAACAGACUGUAUAAUAUUUGUAAGCUGUAAUAAGCUUUAUUGCAAUUAAUAGUGCAGUGCAAUUAUUACAGUUGCAGAAGCAGUUUUCUGGAUCUUCUGGAGCUUUAGUAAAAGGCACCGUCUGUCUGUAGUUCUGAGUCACUGUCAGUGGUGACAUUUCCCAAUCAUUAAGAGUGCAGGACUGUGUAGUGUAUGGAAUCCCAUAUGCUCCAGAGCUGAGUGCAACCAGCAGCUGCCACUCACGUGUGAAUGUGCCUGUACUAUUAAUCUGUGUGUGUGGGGGGGGGGCGUGCAGAAUUACAUGGCACACAUGGUUAUAUGAUUCAGAUACCAUGAUAUAUUGCUGCCAGAAGAGGCAGUGCAAAAGUGUGUUUACUUGUGUGCAUGUAUUUAUAGAUAUGUCUAAAAGACUAAAUCAGAGAACUUCUCACCUCAACUUUACAUUAUCACACACUGCAGUUUUGCUGGUAAUGACUACUACUAUUAUUAUUACUCCUACUACUAUUACUACUAGACACACACACACACACACACACACACACACCACACACACACACACACUGCCCCCCCACACUUUCCCUGGGUAACCGUAUAAGUUGCUAAGGUGUUAAUGACGGCAGUGUAGUGAAUGAUGGAUGUGUGUUUGAGUGCUUACAUCAUCCCCACCAUGGCCUUCUCCUUCCUCUGCCACACUGCUGUGCUGCCAUCUACUGUGAGCUGGACCAGUCAGUACCCUGCCUGCCUGACUGACGCAGCCCUUACACAUCCUUCUAAACAGUGAUUUUUCUGCCAUUGUAAUCCUUGGGCUGGCCGUGUGUGUGUAAAAAAAAAUUAAAAAAAUAAUACAAUUAAAAAAAAUAAUUUAAAAAACCCGAAUAUAUUUAAUCAUUUUCGUGAAUGGAAAAACGCUUUCAGUGUAAACUUCAAUGACUAAAAACAGAUAAUUGGCUUAAAAAUGCUAAAUGAAGUGGGCAGUGACACACCUCACAGAGAGAGAGAGCUGGUUGACACUACAAGCUCUAUUAAAUCCAUGGUGUCUCCACCUCCUCCUAAAAUGUUAUAUUGGACCAGUCCUUCCCUGUAGCUCAGUUGGUAGAGCAUGGUGUUUGCAACGCCAGGGUUGUGGGUUCGAUUCCCACGGGGGGCCAGCACAGAAAAAGAAUGUAUAAAAAAAAUGAAAUUAAAUGUAUGCAUUCACUACUGUAAGUCGCUCUGGAUAAGAGCGUCUGCUAAAUGACUUUAAAAAAAAAUUAUGUAAAAAUGUCUCUGACAGGCCACAUGGACACAGAGCUGUUGCUAGGCUACGACGUGUACCUUCUGAGUGAUGUGAUGGGGCUCAUCUGGAAAAGAGACCAUGGUCUCAGCGUUGACUCUGUGUCAAAAUAAAGGUUCAAUUAUAAACAAAAAUGCCUGAGCGUCUGACAAUCCUGCUGGCUGUGCUGCUGGCUGUGCCCCCCAUCCACUUCCCUGUACUGGACCCCUCUAAGACUACUGCCCUUUAGUGUCUGCUUGUCUGCUCACACUCAUACUUCCAUAUAUAUGAGUAGUUGGGGCUUUCUAUCUGGUAAAUGACAAAAACAUUUACCAAACUGUCUAUCCCAUAGAGUUAUUUGACUUGCCUCCUAUCACAGCACCAUAUUUUAAUGAGUCCAGUUUUAUUAGUGCGCUAAACCGGUACAGCUGUCUGUUUGUCCUAAAGGCCCGUAAGGCAAUGUCAAUGCUGUUUUGUCGAGAUAGGCCUUUCUCCUGGCUCUAUCACAUCUCGUGACGCUGCUGGCCAUCUUCGUCCCUGCCAUCAGGAAUGUGUUUGGGGUUGUGGGUAGGUGUUAAGUCAUUUAACUGAUGGGGUUUCUUUUUGGGGUGUAUUUAUUGUUCCAUUAGCAUCUACUGGUAAUAUUAGGACCUUAUUAGCUAAAUGGGUUUCGAAUGGUUGGUUAAUGUUCUCAUGUUCUUUAAUCUGUAGUUUGCUUUUGGUGUUAAGUAUAGCAUGGUAUACCGUGUGUACAAAGUCUCUGGAAUCUGUCGUGGUAAGUACACACUUCCCAAAUUCAUCCUUAUACUGAAGUUGUUUAGCCUCAUAAAUCAUGGAAAAGACAAGUUUGCAAGGAUCCCCCAAAAAAUGAAAGAAAAUGUUACAUUUUUAAUGGCAAUGUUUUCAUAUCUGCUGGCAAUGUAAUGAUCAUGACUAACCUGUGACUGCACUGUAUUACUAAGAUGAUGUCAUUUCCCUGUGCCCCCAGGCUCUGUUUCUGCUGAUCUUCAGCCUGUUUGUGGGACUGCUCAGUCUGUGUCAUCGUGGUCACCUGGGCAGAGAACCCCUGAACAGGACCACAUGACCAGACAAACUUUGUAACUGCUCCAUGGAGCCUAAAGGGAAAAAUGCUGUCAAAUAAAUAAUAUUUGUCAGCACAACAGGGCGCUAUGACCACCAAACAGGUCAGUGGUAGGACCACAAGAUCACUGCAUCCAGACUCUGAAAGCAUAAGACUGCCCAGUUACUGAAUGUUGCUCUAUGAUGUAUUGAGUGAAUAUACUAUACACUCCUCUAUACAGCACCUCCGCUAUCCAUAGAAGAAAAGUCAUUCAAAUGCUUAUCAACGAUUUCAUUAUAUGAUCCAUUUAUUGUACUGUAAAAUGUUAAAUUAAAGGGAAACAUUGUGAUUUGUAUAAUGA